UACAGAGGGUGCAAGCGUUGUUCGGAAUUAUUGGGCGUAAAGCGCGUGUAGGCGGCUUUGCAAGUCGGCUGUGAAAGCCCUCGGCUCAACCGAGGAAGUGCGUUCGAAACUGCAGAGCUUGAGUGCCGGAGAGGGUGGCGGAAUUCCCCAAGUAGAGGUGAAAUUCGUAGAUAUCUGGAGGAAUACCGGUGGCGAAGGCGGCAUCCUGGACCAUUACUGACGCUGAGGCGCGAAAGCUAGGGGAGCAAACGGG
rnacentral:rRNA from 1 species